rfam:Metschnikowia bicuspidata var. bicuspidata NRRL YB-4993 METBIscaffold_1, whole genome shotgun sequence.
AAGAUAAUCCUCCUCAGCAUAAAUUUCUUGACUUCAAAUUAAUUGGAAUAUAAUUUCUGGCAUCUCCAUAACAGCCUGAAACGUCGCAUACUGAGGUGUUAGGCUGGGGCUUCACAUCUGUCACACAAUAAGCAGGUACUUUAAGGAGGGCACAUGUAGAAUAGGAAUCUCCAGGAGCACAAGCUUUAAAGCCCUCUUGAGUAAAUUAUCAGUCAGACAUGAAAAUCUGGCCUGUCAAUCAUUUGAAACUUCGGAAUAUUAGGUGAGGUGACAGAAAAGUAACCACAGCAAUCACUGGCAAUCAAGCAUUCAUAGCGAGAUUUCCCUGUGAUUCUGCAGUGACAAGUGGGUCUUCCCGACUUCUCUCUAUUUCUUACACAGCGGAUCAGCAGUUUUAC